CUGGAAAACAGAGCUCUUUAGACGGGUGAAGUGUUUCAGACUCAUGCAGGCUAAGCAGUGAGUGAACAGUGAUUACCGGCAGAAGAUAAACCU